CCCUUAGAUGUUCUGGGCUGCACGCGCGCUACACUGAUGCAUUCAACGAGUUUAUAACCUUGCCCGGUAGGGUUGGGUAAUCUUUUGAAAAUGCAUCGUGAUGGGGAUAGAUUAUUGUAAUUAUUAAUCUUCAACGAGGAAUUCCUAGUAAGCGCUAGUCAUCAGCUAGUGUUGAUUACGUCCCUGCCCUUUGUACACACCGCCCGUCGCUGCCUCCGAUUGAGUGAUCCGGUGAAUAUUUCGGACCGACGCCUUGUUUGGUUUACCGAACUUGGUGCUGGAAAGUUGAGUAAACCUUAUCACUUAGAGGAAGCAAAAGUCGUANCA
rnacentral:rRNA from 1 species